AAAUUGAAGAGUUUGAUCAUGGCUCAGAUUGAACGCUGGCGGCAGGCCUAACACAUGCAAGUCGAACGGUAGCACAGAGAGCUUGCUCUCGGGUGACGAGUGGCGGACGGGUGAGUAAUGUCUGGGAAACUGCCCGAUGGAGGGGGAUAACUACUGGAAACGGUAGCUAAUACCGCAUAACGUCGCAAGACCAAAGUGGGGGACCUUCGGGCCUCACACCAUCGGAUGUGCCCAGAUGGGAUUAGCUAGUAGGUGGGGUAACGGCUCACCUAGGCGACGAUCCCUAGCUGGUCUGAGAGGAUGACCAGCCACACUGGAACUGAGACACGGUCCAGACUCCUACGGGAGGCAGCAGUGGGGAAUAUUGCACAAUGGGCGCAAGCCUGAUGCAGCCAUGCCGCGUGUAUGAAGAAGGCCUUCGGGUUGUAAAGUACUUUCAGCGAGGAGGAAGGCGUUGUGGUUAAUAACCACAGCGAUUGACGUUACUCGCAGAAGAAGCACCGGCUAACUCCGUGCCAGCAGCCGCGGUAAUACGGAGGGUGCAAGCGUUAAUCGGAAUUACUGGGCGUAAAGCGCACGCAGGCGGUUUGUUAAGUCAGAUGUGAAAUCCCCGGGCUCAACCUGGGAACUGCAUUUGAAACUGGCAAGCUUGAGUCUCGUAGAGGGGGGUAGAAUUCCAGGUGUAGCGGUGAAAUGCGUAGAGAUCUGGAGGAAUACCGGUGGCGAAGGCGGCCCCCUGGACAAAGACUGACGCUCAGGUGCGAAAGCGUGGGGAGCAAACAGGAUUAGAUACCCUGGUAGUCCACGCCGUAAACGAUGUCUACUUGGAGGUUGUGCCCUUGAGGCGUGGCUUCCGGAGCUAACGCGUUAAGUAGACCGCCUGGGGAGUACGGCCGCAAGGUUAAAACUCAAAUGAAUUGACGGGGGCCCGCACAAGCGGUGGAGCAUGUGGUUUAAUUCGAUGCAACGCGAAGAACCUUACCUGGUCUUGACAUCCACGGAAGUUUUCAGAGAUGAGAAUGUGCCUUCGGGAACCGUGAGACAGGUGCUGCAUGGCUGUCGUCAGCUCGUGUUGUGAAAUGUUGGGUUAAGUCCCGCAACGAGCGCAACCCUUAUCCUUUGUUGCCAGCGGUUAGGCCGGGA
rnacentral:rRNA from 1 species